rnacentral:rRNA from 1 species
AGGCUUGAACAGCGAGGGACCAUUCCCGAAAGGGAACUUCCGCAAGGACUCUCGUAGAGGUGCUGCAUGGCUGUCGUCAGCUCGUGUCGUGAGAUGUUGGGUUAAGUCCCGCAACGAGCGCAACCCUUGUUUGCUGUUGCCAUCACGUUAUGGUGGGCACUCUGCAAAGACUGCCGGUGAUAAACCGGAGGAAGGUGGGGAUGACGUCAAGUCAGCAUGGCCUUUAUGUCUGGGGCUACACACGUGCUACAAUGGCCGGUACAAACCGUCGCAAAACCGUAAGGUCGAGCUAAUCGGACAAAGCCGGUCUCAGUUCGGAUUGUAGGCUGCAACUCGCCUGCAUGAAGUUGGAAUCGCUAGCAAUCGCGGAUCAGCACGCCGCGGUGAAUACGUUCCCGGGCCUUGUACACACCGCCCGUCACAUCACGAAAGCCGGUUGUACUAGAAGUCGCCAUACCAACCCGCAAGGGAGGGAGGCGCCUAAGGUAUGGUCGGUGAUUGGGGUGAAGUCGUAACAAGGUAAGCGUAGUGCU